GGAGGUCAGGAGUUGAGAAUAGGUGUCACUGUGCGAAAAUCCUGGUAUCCACAAGGCUGGAUCCUUCUUGACACUUUAGGAGAGAGGUCCUAUUCUUGUCUUUUCCCAGUGUUUACAGACAAUUUGGGAUCCAAGGUUUAUGGAUUUUUUUUCUCCAUCUUCAAAGCCAGCAGAGUAGUAUCUCCCCUCCUCUCUGAGUAACUCUUCCAUCCUUUCAUUUUUCAUCUCUCACUCUGAAACUGCUCACAAGGACUCGCGUGAGUACAUUGGACCCACCCAGAUAACAAUCCAGAACAACCCCUUAUUCCAGACCCGCAGUGUCACUUUGACUGUGCACAGUAAGGUGUUCAGAGGUUCCAGAGAUCAGGAAGUGGACAGGAGCAUUCUGAGAAUGGGGAAGAGUCCUCGCCCAGCCACUGGGCAGCCUGGGCCAUAGUGCAAGGAAAGAAGGCCAGGUGGAAAUCAGGAAGAGCGUGGCAUGAAAGAGGAUGCAAGUAGUCAGAACUCACUGAUGGCUCAGAGAGAGCCUCAGGUUAAGAGAACUGUUUAUCCCAGUGACAGCAAGGAAGCACUGUCUGAUUUGUAUUUUUACAGACAACUGGCUGAGGGAAGAAGUGAUUGUCUUGCAGCAAUAGAAAUGGAGGAGUAAACAAGGAUUACGCCAUACAUCACCAGGGAAGUUUGAGAAUUUGAAGUGGUAAAAUGUACCCAAUGUAAAGCAUCACUUCACCAUGAUAUAUACUGUAUGUGGAACAGAGCAGCUGCAUAUGACAAAAAAAAAUGAAAGGAAACUGUUUCCAUGGGAUAACCAUGCUUCCCGUCCAUCGAUACCUCUAAAAUUUAAAACUUCUGUUAUAACCAUGAUAUCUGCCACGUUUGUGCCUCGGUUGGUAGGAAGCACGAAAGAGACCACCAUCCUCUGAAAUGGUCAAGGCGGUGUGCAGCUCGAAGCUCUUCAUCACUUUCCUGAGGUGGUUCAUGCAUAAAACGAGAGAAUCCACCCCAACUAUCUCUGGCACAUGGAAGAACUAGCCAAAGAGAAUUAAGUGAUAAAAUACGUAAAUCUACUUCUCUAAAAGAAUCUACUAGAUGAAACAAACACACAGUUGGGUACUGGAGUGAGCCUGAAAGAAUGUUGCUUGGAUGAGAUCCAUCUCUGACCACGAUGGUGCUGGUGGCUUGGGACACAGGAUAUGGGGAGAUGAGUCAUUUGGAGAAGAGCAGGGUAUGAAAACAUUGACCCUUCACCGCCCCAUACAGAGAAAGACAAGAAUCUUUGACUCAAAGGAUACAAACAUAGUCCUAAGAUCAAAUUCAGGAUAAAAUUGAGUUUUUACAAAAACUACUCUUCCUUGCUUACUUUACAAUUAGCAGUUUUGACGAAGAAAACAGUAAUGUAUCCAUUUAGAGAGGGCAUCCUCUUCUUAAAGUCUUCUGUUUGUGUCAUGGCCCAAAGUCUUGUAUGACCUGGCAUCUUCACAUUCUGGCUUAUGAGCCUAUGGUUGAUUCUUCUCUCACAAUGUUGAAAUGUGGGACUUUCUUUUUUUUUUUUUUUUUUUUUUUUUUUUGGUACCAGGGAUCGAACUCUGGACCUUGUGCUUUCAAGGCAGGUGCGGUGCCACUGAGCUAAAUCCCCGGCCCCCAUAUGAGCCCAUGGUUAACC
ensembl:lincRNA